rnacentral:rRNA from 1 species
ACAAAAAUAUCAUAGAGAUAUAAGUAAUUAAAAGGGGUUAUUAAGGAAAACUACUGCAAAUUUAUAAAAAAGGAGGUAUAACACCAAAAGCUUCAGAAAGAAUAUAAUUAUUCUUUUCCAAUUUGAAAAUUGUCAGCGAUCCUAAGGUAAACCUUUAUAAAAAAUACUUCCUGAAGUAAAACAUUUUAUUAAGGAAAGGAAAGGAAAUCAACCGAGACUCCGAGAGUAAUGGUGAGUGAAAUCGGAUUAGCCUAAAAUUCUUUAAUAAUUGAAUAAUUUAAACCAUUUUUAUUCUAAUAGAAAGAUGGAGUAUUAGUUAGCAUAAAAAUUUUAUUCUUUUUUAAAGAUCUAAAAUAUUAUGUUCCAUAGAAGGUUAAAUACAAAAGUCCUGUAAAUUAUUACAGAAUAUAAAAAUUAUAUAAAAAUAAUAAGUACGAUGAGAGAUAACUUGUCGGAAAAUAGGGGAACCAUCCUCUAAGGCUAAGUAUUAUAAAUUUAGCGAUAGUGAAAAAGUACUGUAAAGGAAAAGUUUGAAAAGCGAGUGGUAUACAAAAAGUGAAUUAUUAAAAUUAAAUUAUUAAUUUAAUAAUGAAUCGGUGAAAUAGAUCUUGAAUUAGUAACUCUAUAAGCAGUCGGAAUUCAACUUAAAAUCAUAUAAGGUCAAUGAAUGACGGCGUACCUUUUGCAUAAUGGGUCAGCAAGUUAAUAGGAGUAGCAAGGUUAAUAGCCCUAGCGAAAGCGACUGGACUAUAUUAUAAAAUAUUUAUUUUAUAAAUUAAAUAGUGAUGGAUAAGUUACUUCUAUUAGACCCGAAGCCAGGUGAUCUUACCAAGACCAGAUUAUAAUGGAUCGAACGGGUGAAUGUUGCAUAAUUCUCCGAUGAGUUUUGGUAAGCGGUGAAAUGCCAAUCUUACCUGGUGAUAGCUGGUUUUCUACCGAAACAUAUUUAAGUAUGAAGUCUACACAAGAUUUAUGGAGGUACAGCAAGGCAAUUCCCAACAAGUAUAAAAAUUCUUAUUUUAAAUAAUAAAUAUUAUAUGCGUUUAGGUUGCGGGGAUCUCGAAAAUCUUACCUUUGGAAGCGAAUCUCGGAAUUACAUAAAUUGAUGGAAGACAUUCAGACUACUCAUGCUAAGUUGGGUAGUCAAGACGGAAACAGCCGAGAACACAGAUCAAGGUCCCAAAUGAUUGUUAAGUGAAAAUAAGGACGUAGCAUAAUCGUAUACAGCUGUGAAGUGAGCCUGGCAGUCGCUACUUUUAAUGAACGUAUGUAACAACGCAUCAGCAGUACAGAUCGUAGCGCCGAAAAUUUAACGGGUCUUAAACAAUCAACCGAUAUCGUGUUGGUUAAAAAUAAAUUAUUAAUUUUAAUUUAUUCUUAAUCUAGGUAGUAGAACAUUCAGUAUAACCAAUAAUAAAAUAGUGUUUCAUUAUUUUUAGGUUACUGAAGAGAGAAUGCUGACAUGAGUAACGUAAAAAGAAGUUAUAAUACUUCUCGCCGAAUACGAAAGGGUUGCAAAUUGGAAAGGUUAAUCCGUUUUGUGUUAAUGCGGCCUCUAAGGACCAAAACCAAAGUUUUGGCUGAUGAGUAUAAAAUAGAAAGUCCUUAAAUUUAAAAAAUGGACCAGGAAAACAAUAUUUUUAAAAUUAAACUACCGUACCCUAAACCGACACAGGUUCGUAGGUAGAGAAUACUAAGGCGUAGAGCUAAAAGUUGUUAAGGAACUCGGCAAAUUCACCUCAUAAGUUAGACGAAAAGAGGUACCAUUUGUGAAUUCUAUUAUUGAGACUUUGUUUUUAAUAAUUGAUAGAUAAAUGGUGGCACAGAAUCGGAGGCCCCGACUGUUUACUAAAAACACAACACAGUGCAAUCAUUAAUAUGGUAGUAUACUGUGUGAAAUUUGCCCAAUGCCAUUAAUAUAAAAGCGGUCAUAGGAAACUGUGACUAAUUGAAAAUCUGGUUAAUAGCGGUCUUAACCAUGAGGAUCCUAAGGUAGCAAAAUAAAUUGGCCAUUAAAUGUGGUCCGGUAUCAAUAAUGUAACGAUGGCCUCACUGUCUCUACAACUUGCUCAGUGAAAUUGAAUUACGCGUGCAGAUGCGCGUUACCUCCAGUGGGACGGGAAGACCCUAUGCAGCUUUACUGUAGUUAGUUAUCAUAUGAAUCUAGAACAACUUUAAUUAAUAGAGAAUAGGUAAGUCGAUAGACGCAUAGUGGAAACCUUACAAUUAAGGUUGGGUUUGUGUUUACCUUAUACACCUAAUCUAACUUUCUACCUCUCUGAACCUUUUUAAAGGUAGAAGAGAGGAGGGUAGGUUAGGUACGAAGGGAGAGUUGACUAAUUGGCAGUUUGACUGGGGCGGUCGUCUUUAAUAGAGUAGCAAAGUACAUCCAAAUAUUUCAUAAUUUUUUAAAUAUUUUGUUUUUUAAUCUUAUCCUUUCCACUCCAGAUCUCUGUGAGGUUUGGGGCUCGGAUAUUUUUUAGAAUAUUAGAUAUUAAAACAAAUAACUUUUCUCUGUUGUAAAAUAACAGAAGAAGUCAAAUUAUUAACUAAAAACAAAACUUUGUCUUUACUUCACCUCUUUUGGUUUUUAAUCAAAUAAAAACUAGGAAAGGUAUAACAAAGACUUAGUCACAAAUUAACAUAAAAUUUUACAAGGUAUAGCUAUAAAUUGAAUGGAGAUCAAUCAACCAAUGAAGGGUUGCGCAGAGUUCAAUGGCGGAAAGCAUGCUUAACUGAAAGACUCAAAAGUCGCACAGAUACGUAAGUAGGGCAUAGUGACCCCUCGCUAUAGUAUGGAAUAGACGGGGAUCAAUUGAUAAAAGUUACGCUAGGGAUAACAGGCUGAUAGCCGACGAGAGUACACAUUGUCUCGGCUGUUUGGCACCUCGAUGUCGACUCAUCCUAUCCUCCGGGGGAAGAAGCUUGGAAGGGUUCGGCUGUUCGCCGAUUAAAAGGGUACGUGAGUUGGGUUUAAUACGACGUGAGUCAGUAUGGUCCCUAUCUUCUGGAGGGACAAGUAGUAAAAAGGGGCAGACCUUCUAGUACGAAAGGACCAAUAGGCUGUGUUUCUCUAGUGCACCAAUUGUUUGUACUUUUUGUAAGGGACCUUUACUUUUUUAAUAGAAGUAAAGGAAAAAUCCUUUUUAACUUUCUUGCAAAAAGUUUUUACUCAAAAUCAAUGAGAAAAAGGUAACAAAUAGGAAUGCAUAGUUGGGUAGCCACAAACAUAAUAGAUAAGUGCUGAAUGUCUCUCAAGCAAGAAUCUAACCCCUAGAUACUAACAAAUGAAUCUUUAUCUAAAAAAAUAAAAGUUUUUAGAAUAGAGUCUAAAAUCAUUAAUUAAGAAAUAGAACAUUUCUAGAUAGGCUGCAAAUGUACGUAUUGU